rnacentral:rRNA from 1 species
UACGUAGGGUGCAAGCGUUGUCCGGAAUUAUUGGGCGUAAAGAGCUCGUAGGCGGUUUGUCGCGUCUGCUGUGAAAACCCGAGGCUCAACCUCGGGCCUGCAGUGGGUACGGGCAGACUAGAGUGCGGUAGGGGGAGAUUGGAAUUCCUGGUGUAGCGGUGGAAUGCGCAGAUAUCAGGAGGAACACCGAUGGCGAAGGCAGAUCUCUGGGCCGUAACUGACGCUGGAGGAGCGAAAAGCAUGGGGGAGCAACAGG